UUAAGCUGUAAAAAGUUACCUCCCUUUGUUUACUAUUCACCAUUUGUAAAACAGCAGACGACGAAUAACUGGUGCUUAUUUUCGUUGGAUAUUAAUGCUCUGGGUUCGGCAGCUGGUGUUAUAUUAAAAUUUCCUAUAUGGAGAUAUAAGAAGAUGCAGCUUGAUGAGAAAAGCAUGAUUUGGUUGUUAUCACCUGAUAAACUUAAUGAUGUGUGAAUGUAUGCAGCGGAAUUUUUAUGUUGGGGCUUUUUCUUCUUUCUAAAAUAGACGCAGCAGAUAUUGUUACAAAGAUUGCCCAAGCAUGUGGAAUAUUAUUUCUUUCUGUUAUUGGUACUGGACUUGAUGCAAACAAAGUUCUUACAGCUAAAUGGUACACAUAAAGUUUCCUAUCAUGUGAGUGAAUGUAUAAGUAACAACAAUUUAAUGUUUUGAUACAAGUUGAUUGACGUAUCAAAAAUAAGAAUAUAAUGUAACUU